GUUAAGCGACUAAGCGUACACGGUGGAUGCCCUGGCAGUCAGAGGCGAUGAAGGACGUGCUAAUCUGCGAUAAGCGUCGGUAAGGUGAUAUGAACCGUUAUAACCGGCGAUUUCCGAAUGGGGAAACCCAGUGUGAUUCGUCACACUAUCAUUAACUGAAUCCAUAGGUUAAUGAGGCGAACCGGGGGAACUGAAACAUCUAAGUACCCCGAGGAAAAGAAAUCAACCGAGAUUCCCCCAGUAGCGGCGAGCGAACGGGGAGCAGCCCAGAGCCUGAAUCAGUGUGUGUGUUAGUGGAAGCGUCUGGAAAGGCGCGCGAUACAGGGUGACAGCCCCGUACACAAAAAUGCACAUACUGUGAGCUCGAUGAGUAGGGCGGGACACGUGGUAUCCUGUCUGAAUAUGGGGGGACCAUCCUCCAAGGCUAAAUACUCCUGACUGACCGAUAGUGAACCAGUACCGUGAGGGAAAGGCGAAAAGAACCCCGGCGAGGGGAGUGAAAAAGAACCUGAAACCGUGUACGUACAAGCAGUGGGAGCACAGAGCAAUCUGUGUGACUGCGUACCUUUUGUAUAAUGGGUCAGCGACUUAUAUUCUGUAGCAAGGUUAACCGAAUAGGGGAGCCGAAGGGAAACCGAGUCUUAACUGGGCGUUAAGUUGCAGGGUAUAGACCCGAAACCCGGUGAUCUAGCCAUGGGCAGGUUGAAGGUUGGGUAACACUAACUGGAGGACCGAACCGACUAAUGUUGAAAAAUUAGCGGAUGACUUGUGGCUGGGGGUGAAAGGCCAAUCAAACCGGGAGAUAGCUGGUUCUCCCCGAAAGCUAUUUAGGUAGCGCCUCGUGAAUUCAUCUCCGGGGGUAGAGCACUGUUUCGGCAAGGGGGUCAUCCCGACUUACCAACCCGAUGCAAACUGCGAAUACCGGAGAAUGUUAUCACGGGAGACACACGGCGGGUGCUAACGUCCGUCGUGAAGAGGGAAACAACCCAGACCGCCAGCUAAGGUCCCAAAGUCAUGGUUAAGUGGGAAACGAUGUGGGAAGGCCCAGACAGCCAGGAUGUUGGCUUAGAAGCAGCCAUCAUUUAAAGAAAGCGUAAUAGCUCACUGGUCGAGUCGGCCUGCGCGGAAGAUGUAACGGGGCUAAACCAUGCACCGAAGCUGCGGCAGCGACGCUGAUGCGUUGUUGGGUAGGGGAGCGUUCUGUAAGCCUGUGAAGGUGUGCUGUGAGGCAUGCUGGAGGUAUCAGAAGUGCGAAUGCUGACAUAAGUAACGAUAAAGCGGGUGAAAAGCCCGCUCGCCGGAAGACCAAGGGUUCCUGUCCAACGUUAAUCGGGGCAGGGUGAGUCGACCCCUAAGGCGAGGCCGAAAGGCGUAGUCGAUGGGAAACAGGUUAAUAUUCCUGUACUUGGUGUUACUGCGAAGGGGGGACGGAGAAGGCUAUGUUGGCCGGGCGACGGUUGUCCCGGUUUAAGCGUGUAGGCUGGUUUUCCAGGCAAAUCCGGAAAAUCAAGGCUGAGGCGUGAUGACGAGGCACUACGGUGCUGAAGCAACAAAUGCCCUGCUUCCAGGAAAAGCCUCUAAGCAUCAGGUAACAUCAAAUCGUACCCCAAACCGACACAGGUGGUCAGGUAGAGAAUACCAAGGCGCUUGAGAGAACUCGGGUGAAGGAACUAGGCAAAAUGGUGCCGUAACUUCGGGAGAAGGCACGCUGAUAUGUAGGUGAAGUCCCUCGCGGAUGGAGCUGAAAUCAGUCGAAGAUACCAGCUGGCUGCAACUGUUUAUUAAAAACACAGCACUGUGCAAACACGAAAGUGGACGUAUACGGUGUGACGCCUGCCCGGUGCCGGAAGGUUAAUUGAUGGGGUCAGCGCAAGCGAAGCUCUUGAUCGAAGCCCCGGUAAACGGCGGCCGUAACUAUAACGGUCCUAAGGUAGCGAAAUUCCUUGUCGGGUAAGUUCCGACCUGCACGAAUGGCGUAAUGAUGGCCAGGCUGUCUCCACCCGAGACUCAGUGAAAUUGAACUCGCUGUGAAGAUGCAGUGUACCCGCGGCAAGACGGAAAGACCCCGUGAACCUUUACUAUAGCUUGACACUGAACAUUGAGCCUUGAUGUGUAGGAUAGGUGGGAGGCUUUGAAGUGUGGACGCCAGUCUGCAUGGAGCCGACCUUGAAAUACCACCCUUUAAUGUUUGAUGUUCUAACGUUGACCCGUAAUCCGGGUUGCGGACAGUGUCUGGUGGGUAGUUUGACUGGGGCGGUCUCCUCCUAAAGAGUAACGGAGGAGCACGAAGGUUGGCUAAUCCUGGUCGGACAUCAGGAGGUUAGUGCAAUGGCAUAAGCCAGCUUGACUGCGAGCGUGACGGCGCGAGCAGGUGCGAAAGCAGGUCAUAGUGAUCCGGUGGUUCUGAAUGGAAGGGCCAUCGCUCAACGGAUAAAAGGUACUCCGGGGAUAACAGGCUGAUACCGCCCAAGAGUUCAUAUCGACGGCGGUGUUUGGCACCUCGAUGUCGGCUCAUCACAUCCUGGGGCUGAAGUAGGUCCCAAGGGUAUGGCUGUUCGCCAUUUAAAGUGGUACGCGAGCUGGGUUUAGAACGUCGUGAGACAGUUCGGUCCCUAUCUGCCGUGGGCGCUGGAGAACUGAGGGGGGCUGCUCCUAGUACGAGAGGACCGGAGUGGACGCAUCACUGGUGUUCGGGUUGUCAUGCCAAUGGCACUGCCCGGUAGCUAAAUGCGGAAGAGAUAAGUGCUGAAAGCAUCUAAGCACGAAACUUGCCCCGAGAUGAGUUCUCCCUGACUCCUUGAGAGUCCUGAAGGAACGUUGAAGACGACGACGUUGAUAGGCCGGGUGUGUAAGCGCAGCGAUGCGUUGAGCUAACCGGUACUAAUGAACCGUGAGG
rnacentral:rRNA from 1 species